AUGCUUAUCCAUCCACAUCGCCAUUCCUCUUCAGUCCUCACGCGGCGCUGCUCCGCCUCCGUCUUCCUCCCCCUGCAACCUCACCACCAAGCGCUGUCCCUCCUCAUCUUCUCCGUCAAUCCACGUCACCACCAGCGCUGCUCUCCUCUUCUCUAUCCAGCGCGUCCACUACCAGCUUGGCGCGCGUCGGCCCUACCCCAAGUUCUUCGCUCCUAUCGACGCCUGGCCGUGCUCCACCCCAACAGCCGCCCGUGCUUUUUCGACGAUGCACUCCACUCCUGGAGUCCGCGGCCGCGGUGGCUGGCUACAUCCACUUCCCGUCUGCCAAAGGCGGGGCGGAGCUUCGAUGCGUGCAGUUGCUGCUGCGGCUGGGGCGGCGAUGGCCUGCUCGUCGGUGCACAGGGGCCUGGGGUGGAGUCCCCAUGCCGUGGUGGUGGAGCCCCUGCCCGUGAGUGGCUGGUGACUGGGGCAGCGGUGCCGGUGCGCAGUGGAGGCUCGGUUGCUCGCCAGAUCUGGCGGCUGGCCAGCAUGCGCAGGAGCUGGAGGCGCGGGAGACGGCCUGGUGGUGCUACUCAUCUGCCGGUGGCCCAAGGAUUCUGGGGCGGCUCGGGUGAAUCCCCCAGUUUUCUCUUCCGUUUGCUCUUCUAUGUACCAUCGCCUUAUCUUCAGACUCCCCUUCUUCCUUCAUCUCUCUUCUCUUUCCGGUGCUUCUUUUCUCUAAGAGCUCUCUGUCUUCUAUUUUUCUGCAUAGAGAGGCCAUGGCCGCCCGAUGCCCGAGCGCCGCUGGCCAAGGACCCACCGGCGUCUAGACUCCCUCCAUGCCAUUCCCAUCUUGCUGGAGACCUGCACCAAGUCCCAUCCAGCGCCCGCGCCACCCUUCGGCCCCUGCCCGCAGCUCUGCAGCCUGAGCGCUUCAGCCGCCUCCCGAAGCAGAGGAGAGGGACUCCCUGCCACGAGCAUUGGCAAACCAGUAGGCCGACACUGCCUCCUUCUCGCUUCCCUCCUUCCUUUUUUCCGCCGCGAUGCAUCAUUCCUUCCUUGGCUCCUGCGGCGUGGUCGCCGGCGGCCUGUGCCCGCGGUGGAGAAGGCAAAUGGAUAAGUCGCGGGGGUGCCCGGUGGUGA
rnacentral:rRNA from 1 species